CGGCAUGUGGAAGCACACAGUCUGUGCUGUGAAUAUGAAGCAGUCGGCAAGGACAACCCGGUGGUGCUGUGUGGUUGGAAAGGCUGUACCUGCACCUUCAAGGACCGCAGUAAACUUCGGGAGCACCUCCGCAGCCAUACCCAGGAGAAAGUGGUAGCCUGCCCCACCUGUGGGGGCAUGUUUGCCAACAAUACCAAGUUCUUAGAUCACAUCCGUCGCCAGACCUCAUUGGAUCAUGAGGAAACUGAGUCUCAGAGAGGUUAAAUCACUUACCUGAGAUCACACAGCUAAGCAGCACUUCCAGUGUUCUCACUGUUCCAAGAGAUUUGCCACAGAGCGGCUGUUGCGGGACCACAUGCGCAACCAUGUGAAUCACUAUAAGUGCCCUCUGUGUGACAUGACCUGCCCGCUGCCUUCCUCCCUCCGCAACCACAUGCGCUUUCGUCACAGUGAGGACCGGCCCUUUAAAUGUGACUGUUGUGACUACAGCUGCAAGAAUCUUAUUGACCUCCAGAAGCACCUGGAUACCCACAGCGAGGAGCCAGCCUACAGGUGUGAUUUUGAGAACUGCACCUUCAGUGCCCGAUCCCUCUGCUCUAUCAAGUCACAUUACCGCAAAGUACACGAAGGAGACUCUGAGCCAAGGUACAAAUGUCAUGUGUGUGACAAAUGCUUCACACGGGGCAACAACCUCACCGUGCACCUUCGCAAGAAGCACCAGUUCAAGUGGCCCUCAGGGCAUCCCCGUUUUCGGUACAAGGAACAUGAAGAUGGCUAUAUGCGGCUGCAGCUGGUUCGCUACGAGAGUGUAGAGCUGACACAGCAACUGCUGCGGCAACCACAAGAGGGAUCGGGCCUGGGAACGUCGCUGAACGAGAGCAGCCUGCAGGGCAUUAUUCUAGAAACAGUGCCAGGGGAGCCAGGACGUAAGGAAGAGGAAGAGGAGGGCAAGGGUGGCGAAGG
rnacentral:sRNA from 1 species